rnacentral:rRNA from 1 species
GCACAAGCGGUGGAGCAUGUGGUUUAAUUCGAUGCUACGCGAAGAACCUUACCAGGUCUUGACAUCUUCUGCCAACCUAAGAGAUUAGGCGUUCCCUUCGGGGACAGAAUGACAGGUGGUGCAUGGUUGUCGUCAGCUCGUGUCGUGAGAUGUUGGGUUAAGUCCCGCAACGAGCGCAACCCUUAUUGUUAGUUGCCAGCAUUCAGUUGGGCACUCUAGCAAGACUGCCGGUGACAAACCGGAGGAAGGUGGGGAUGACGUCAAAUCAUCAUGCCCCUUAUGACCUGGGCUACACACGUGCUACAAUGGACGGUACAACGAGUCGCGAAACCGCGAGGUCAAGCUAAUCUCUUAAAGCCGUUCUCAGUUCGGAUUGUAGGCUGCAACUCGCCUACAUGAAGUUGGAAUCGCUAGUAAUCGUGGAUCAGCAUGCCACGGUGAAUACGUUCCCGGGCCUUGUACACACCGCCCGUCACACCAUGAGAGUUUGUAACACCCAAAGCCGGUGAGGUAACCUUCGGGGACCAGCCGUCUAAGGUGGGACAGAUGAUUAGGGUGAAGUCGUAACAAGGUAACC